rnacentral:rRNA from 1 species
CUACAGAGGGUGCGAGCGUUAAUCGGAAUUACUGGGCGUAAAGCGCGCGUAGGCGGCUUAUUAAGUCAGAUGUGAAAUCCCCGGGCUCAACCUGGGAACUGCAUCUGAUACUGGUAAGCUAGAGUUUUGGAGAGGGAAGUAGAAUUUCAGGUGUAGCGGUGAAAUGCAUAGAGAUCUGAAGGAAUACCAGUGGCGAAGGCGACUUCCUGGCCAAAAACUGACGCUGAGGUGCGAAAGCGUAGGUAGCAAACGGGAUUAGAUACCCUAGUAGUCC